AGUUAUGUUCCUAGGAGGAUUAUGACUGUCUUUACUGUGUCACACAGGUUGUCAGGGAAAUGGGGGAGAGCCAGCAGUCACAGGCCUCAUCCAGCUCCCACACAAUCCAAAGGGCCAGUCUAUCUCCCACCACGCCCACUCCCAACAGCACCAAGUCUGUUUCCAGGCAGUGGUUCUGGAGGCUGGGAAGUCCAAGGUAGAGAGAUCACAUCUAGUGAGGCUUUUCUUCCAGCAUCAUAACAUGGCAGAAGCAUCACAUGGCAAAAGGGCAA